rnacentral:rRNA from 1 species
ACGCUGGCGGCAGGCCUAACACAUGCAAGUCGAGCGGAUGAGAGGAGCUUGCUCCUUGAUUUAGCGGCGGACGGGUGAGUAAUGCCUAGGAAUCUGCCUGGUAGUGGGGGAUAACGUUCCGAAAGGAACGCUAAUACCGCAUACGUCCUACGGGAGAAAGCAGGGGACCUUCGGGCCUUGCGCUAUCAGAUGAGCCUAGGUCGGAUUAGCUAGUUGGUGAGGUAAUGGCUCACCAAGGCGACGAUCCGUAACUGGUCUGAGAGGAUGAUCAGUCACACUGGAACUGAGACACGGUCCAGACUCCUACGGGAGGCAGCAGUGGGGAAUAUUGGACAAUGGGCGAAAGCCUGAUCCAGCCAUGCCGCGUGUGUGAAGAAGGUCUUCGGAUUGUAAAGCACUUUAAGUUGGGAGGAAGGGCAUUAACCUAAUACGUUAGUGUUUUGACGUUACCGACAGAAUAAGCACCGGCUAACUUCGUGCCAGCAGCCGCGGUAAUACGAAGGGUGCAAGCGUUAAUCGGAAUUACUGGGCGUAAAGCGCGCGUAGGUGGUUCGUUAAGUUGGAUGUGAA